rnacentral:rRNA from 1 species
AAUGAAGGUACCUGAGGAAUAAGCAUCGGCUAACUCCGUGCCAGCAGCCGCGGUAAUACGGAGGAUGCAAGCGUUAUCCGGAAUGAUUGGGCGUAAAGGGUCCGCAGGUGGCCCUGUAAGUCUGCUGUUAAAGAGUGAGGCUUAACCUCAUAAGAGCAGUGGAAACUACAGAGCUAGAGUGCGUUCGGGGUAGCAGGAAUUCCUGGUGUAGCGGUGAAAUGCGUAGAGAUCAGGAAGAACACCGGUGGCGAAAGCGUGCUACUAGGCCGUAACUGACGCUGAGGGACGAAAGCUAGGGGAGCGAAUGGGAUUAGAUAC